ensembl:lncRNA
CUCUGAUCAUUGCCAGUGCAAGUUGCUAAUCUUUCAUGAUGAACAAUGAAUAGAUGUGGUUCUGAUUUCUCAUUAGAUUUUCGCUAAUGCAUAAUUCUACAAAAUAAUUUUACAUAGCUCACAAUUUCAUAUGACUGAAGGAUCUUGUUCCCUUUUAAAGGUACACCAACCUGUCCAAAGAUUCAAAUAUUAAUUUCUAAUAAUAUAAAUCAACAUAUUGCUAUAUUUCUUAGAUAACUAUAUAAUAAGUUAUGUAAAUCCACUAAAGAGUGUGACCAACAGUAAUGACAAGGGGAAAGGCUAUGGCUUUAAUUUAUGAAAGCAGGACAUAGGAAUAGCCAUACUGGUUAGAUCAAAGCCCCAGUCUCUAAUGGUGACCAGUAGCAGAUGUUACAGGAAUAUAAGAACGAAGUAGUGAACCCUCCCAUUUUAUGUAAUCAGCCAUUAUCAGUUUAUUCAGUCAGAUUUCCUGAAGAGGGACAAAUAUCCAAUAAAAUAAAUAAUUGUCUGAUAUCUUCACCUGUUUGUUAACAGAAUUCUCCAUUUUCCAGAGUUCUGUUUAGCGCUGUGAAAAAUUACAUUCUAAUACGAAGUUUUAUAUUUUGGUGAUAUCCGCAGAACAAAGAAUAUCACCCCUUCAGAGAAGUUGUGACGCACUGGAUCAAACAAAGAAACAAACAAAAAGUACCUGAUGAAGAGAAUCUGAGCCCACAGACUUACUCAUUGCUCAAACAACAAAGCCAAGUUCUUUCAAGUCUUCUAAUAGUGAAUGAAGUAUCUAAGGCAAGUGGGACAAUAAGCUCUACAAGUAACUGUUUUGGAGAGAAAUGAUAGUGUUAAAGGUAGAUUGGGACUUCAUGGUAAGAGCCUCAUUGUCAUCCUUCCCUAGAAGACUUGCCAUACUUACAUACCUGGCACAAGCAUGUCUUCUUCCUCCCACUAAUUUGGACCUAGUAAAAGUAUUUGACAGUGAGAGAAAGAAAUUUCAGUCUACUCUGAAAAUAAUCCAAAUCUGGACUGGGUAUUCUCUGGAAACUUGUUCUCCAGCUUAUUUAUCCUAGAGCACUACUUCCUCUGCCUUGGGACUGUGGGUGACCUUAAUGAGGCUAGUAAAGUCUAAUUGACUUUCUUGGUCAAGACUUCACUCUAGUCUUUUCUCUUCUGUGUGCCAUACCCAGGAAAGAAGGCAGGAAUUUCAGGACCCUGCACCAACAGAGGGUGACUCUUGGGCCCACUGUGGCACAGAUUUAAUGAGCUGGUGUACAGAACUAUGGAAGGCAUUAGAGGCGAUCAUACGAGGUGUUCGUUAAUCAGUCCAUGCAGCCUUCUGCGGCAGCUUUACCAAAGUCCACGCAGGAAUGGCGCUGACUGCUUCGGUUUCUUACCUCUACAUUCUUUUUGACAACGUCAUCUCGCCCAGACCUCUCCAGGGGAGAUCCAGACUGCCACGGUGGGAAUCCAGGUUGGAGUUGGUGCCUCUACCUCAAGCAGAGGUCAUAGACACGACUGCUUUCAGGAUCUUAGCUGGUGAAGAGAUAACAAGAAAGCUGCAAGAUAGGUAUGUUAAUAUAGUUCCGAAACCAGAAUGAAAAUCUCAACUUCAGCAACGUCAGCAAAAACAUGUUUCUUCUCAGAUUUAAUUUCCAUGAGAAACUAUGUUAAAUUAAAACCUUCCAGUGCAAUGUCCUUCCAUUUUUUGCAUUUUUACUACCUAGAGAUCAAACAGUUUGACACAGCAAAAAUUCUAGUGAGCUAGGAAGAAAUGCUGAUUGGUUUGUUGGCUGGUGGCCGGGGGAAUGUUAUGACCAAGUAAUUAUGUGUUCUGGACAGAUGUAUUAACCAGGCUUCGAGCUGGAGCCACUGGAUAUUAUUUUAGUCAUAAGACUAGAGGAACUGAAUCAUUUUCAAAGUGCUGGCUGGCUGACACUGCUUUAGUGAUGCCUGUUCCAAUGAUUCUUUGGCAAGAACUUCCAACGCUGCACUUAUGACACAGUAAACAAAAACUACAUUAAAGGUUUGUUUUUUAAUCAUAAAGAAGUUGAACAUUUCCACUGAGCUUUUUUGCUAUUUAUCAAGAAGCACCGAAGGCUAUUGUAAAGCUUCCAUCCUUACCAAAGAGCUGGAGUUGUUUAGCGAAACUGUUUUUAGAUCUGGCGAUAAUAAAAAUGCUUCAGAAUUCA